rnacentral:misc_RNA from 1 species
AAAUGCGAUAAGUAAUGUGAAUUGCAGAAUUCAGUGAAUCAUCGAAUCUUUGAACGCACAUUGCGCCCGCCAGUAUUCUGGCGGGCAUGCCUGUUCGAGCGUCAUUUCAACCCUCAAGCCCCCGGGUUUGGUGUUGGGGAUCGGACUGCGGUUCUACCGCGUCCCGGCCCCGAAAUCUAGUGGCGGUCUCGCUGCAGCCUCCAUUGCGUAGUAGCUAACACCUAGCAACUGGAACGCGGCGCGGCCAAGCCGUUAAACCCCCAACUUCUGAAUGUUGACCUCGGAUCAGGUAGGAAUACCCGCUGAACUUAAGC